GACGAACGCUGGCGGCGUGCUUAACACAUGCAAGUCGAACGGAAAGGCCCUGCUUUUGUGGGGUGCUCGAGUGGCGAACGGGUGAGUAACACGUGAGUAACCUGCCCCUGACUUUGGGAUAACUUCAGGAAACUGGGGCUAAUACCGGAUAGGAGCUCCUGCUGCAUGGUGGGGGUUGGAAAGAUUCGGCGGUUGGGGAGGGACUCGCGGCUUAUCAGCUUGUUGGUGGGGUAGUGGCUUACCAAGGCUUUGACGGGUAGCCGGCCUGGGAGGGUGACCGGCCACAUUGGGACUGAGAUACGGCCCAGACCCCUACGGGAGGCAGCAGUGGGAAAUAUUACACAGUGAGCGGACGCCUGAUGCAGCGACGCCGCGUGCGGGAUGACGGCCUUCGGGUUGUAAACCGCUUUCGCCUGUGACGAAGCGUGAGUGACGGUAAUGAGUAAAGAAGCACCGGCUAACUACGUG
rnacentral:rRNA from 1 species